rnacentral:rRNA from 1 species
AACCGAGAAUUCCUACGGGAGGCAGCAGUGGGGAAUUUUGGACAAUGGGGGCAACCCUGAUCCAGCAAUGCCGCGUGAGUGAAGAGGGCCUUCGGGUUGUAAAGCUCUUUUGUCAGGGAAGAAACGGUAGUAGCUAAUAUCUAUUACUAAUGACGGUACCUGAAGAAUAAGCACCGGCUAACUACGUGCCAGCAGCCGCGGUAAUACGUAGGGUGCAAGCGUUAAUCGGAAUUACUGGGCGUAAAGCGUGCGCAGGCGGUUGUGUAAGUCAGAUGUGAAAUCCCCGGGCUCAACCUGGGAAUUGCAUUUGUGACUGCACGGCUAGAGUGUGUCAGAGGGGGGUAGAAUUCCACGUGUAGCAGUGAAAUGCGUAGAUAUGUGGAGGCAUACCGAUGGCUAAGGCAGCCCCCUGGGAUAACACUGACGCUCAUGCACGAAAGCGUGGGGAGCAAACAGGAUUAGAAACCCUAGUAGUCCGACUGAGA